rnacentral:rRNA from 1 species
GAUGAACGCUAGCGGCAGGCUUAAUACCUGCAAGUCGAGGGGCAGCGGGAGUAGCAAUACUUGCCGGCGACCGGCGCACGGGUGCGUAACACGUAUGUAAUCUGCCCAUCACAGGAGGAUAGCCCGGAGAAAUUCGGAUUAAUACUCCAUAAUAGAAGAUAAAGCAUUUUAUUUUCUUGAAAGUUCCGACGGUGAUGGAUGAACAUGCGACUGGAUUAGUUUGUUGGUGAGGUAACGGCUCACCAAGACUACGAUCAGUAGGGGUACUGAGAGGUUAAACCCCCGANACUGGUACUGAGACACGGACCAGACUCCUACGGGAGGCAGCAGUAAGGAAUAUUGGACAAUGGCCGCAAGGCUGAUCCAGCCAUGGCCGCGU